UUAUGAAGCAAAUUCCCGAUAGGAUUCACAGCAAUGUGAAGAUGCCUUGUAACCACAUAAAUCGUUUCUAGAACUCAGUAUGGGGGAAUUAAAUCACAUG
rnacentral:sRNA from 2 species